AUAUAUAUAUAUAGUCACAGUUAACCGGUGCCAAAUUAUGAUUUGCAAUCUUGUAUUUCUCUGACAAAAAGAUGGGAAAGAAGACCGGUGUAGUUGUUCUCAUGUUGAUUUCUUUCUUCUUGAUCAUCGCAUCAAACGGGAGAAUAGGUAAACAACCUUCAAUCCUUCGAGAUGUCCAUGGGAGUCAAUCACCUCAAGCACCAAGAUAUAAGGGUGUACCCCCACUACAACACCCAUCCCCACCCUCACCUACCCGUGAGGGACGACAACCAAUCACCUAUAAAAGUUUGCAGAGAUCGAACCCGGCCUGUAAUGCCGGAAUAAAUGGCCAAUGUAGAGGUACAUACAACAUCGGUAGUAGUAGGAAGUGUAAAAAUGAUGUGUAUUGUAGGGAUCAUAAUUAAUUAUAAGCUUUCAUGCAUGUUUCAAGUGAAUGUUAAAAGCAUGCUUUUGUUGAGCUAGCUGGGAUGAUGAUUGUAACAAUAUUGUAUUAUCACAUGCAUGUAUACAGAUAUUCGGUAGGACUAUUCGUUUCUUCA